rnacentral:rRNA from 1 species
AGCAGCCGCGGUAAUUCCAGCUCCAAUAGCGUAUAUUAAAGUUGUUGCAGUUAAAAAGCUCGUAGUUGAAUUUCGGGGUUCUACCGUUGGUCAGGCUAUUGUCUGUACUGGUGUGUAGAAUUUCUACCUUCUGGGGAACUAUCAUGUUAUUAAUUUAGCGUGGUAGGAAACCAGGACCUUUACCUUGAAAAAAUUAGAGUGUUCAAAGCAGGCUUAUGUCUGAAUACAUUAGCAUGGAAUAAUAAUUUAGGACUUCGGUUCUAUUUUGUUGGUUUCUAGGACUGAAGUAAUGAUUGAUAGGGACAGUUGGGGGUGCUAGUAUUCAGCGGCCAGAGGUGAAAUUCUCGGAUUCGCUGAAGACUAACUUAUGCGAAAGCAUUCACCAAGGAUGUCUUCUUUAAUCAAGAACGAAAGUUGGGGGAUCGAAGACGAUCAGAUACCGUCGUAGUCUCAACCAUAAACUAUGCCGACUAGGGAUCGGACGAUGUUAACUUUUCUUGACUCG